UGUGUAGGCGGUUAUUUAAGUUUGGUGUGAAAUCUCCCGGCUCAACCGGGAGGGUGCGCCGAAUACUGAAUGACUUGGAGUGCGGGAGAGGAAGGUGGAAUUCCUGGUGUAGCGGUGAAAUGCGUAGAUAUCAGGAGGAACACCGGUGGUGUAGACGGCUUUCUGGACCGUAACUGACGCUGAGACACGAAAGCGUGGGUAGCAAACA
rnacentral:rRNA from 1 species